CUUUUAAAGGAUAGAA
rnacentral:tRNA from 1 species